UUCGCACAACUAGCUCCGAGACUACAAACUUAUAAGCAGUAUUCCGAGAUCCGCAAGGUACUGAAGAGGAGAGGUUUUCUGGAGCGCUCUCUUGUUUGUAUACACUAUCUGAAUUUUGUCUUCACCCACUGUUGUUGUCCUAGCUCGAAACCGCUUGAUUUAAAGACCAGUUAAAAGAUGCAAGCAUCUCAGGUACCACACUCAGAAGCUGAACCUCUCUGAAUUUAGCUAAGAACAUGGCCAAUGCGGAAAUAUGCCUUGCAUGACUUCAUAUGUGAUGGGUGUCAUAUUUCUUGCCUUCUCAAUGUAUGGAGGAGGGGAAGAAGG